CUGAAAAGUAAACGUAACCCUCGCCUGGUCCCUUACGCCCUGCUGGAUGAGCGCACCAAGAAAUCAAACCGUGACAGCCUACGCGAGGCCAUUCGCACCCUGAUUGGUUACGGUUACAAUGUGGAGCCAUCCGAUCAAGAAGGACAAAUGGUUGAGCGACUCAGCAUCGACAAAAUCCGAUUUUUCAGAGUAGAACGCACAUACGCGGUGAAGACGGGGAAAUGGUACUUUGAAUUUGAGGCCGUCACAGGAGGAGACAUGAGAGUUGGCUGGGCAAGACCUGGGUGUAAGCCAGAUGUGGAACUUGGCACAGAUCAGUUGGCUUUCGUCUUUGACGGAUACAGGGGCCACUGUCUGAAUUUGGGUGGCCGUUUGUUCGGGCGCUGCUGGCA